AUUGAACGCUAGCGGGAUGCUUUACACAUGCAAGUCGAACGAGUGGCGGACGGGUGAGUAAUAUAUCGGAACGUGCCCAGUAGAGGGGGAUAACUACUCGAAAGAGUGGCUAAUACCGCCUACUAUUGGAGCGGCCGAGAUUGGAUUAGCUAGUUGGUGGGGUAAAGGCUCACCAAGGCAACGAGCCGUAGCUGGUUUGAGAGGACGACAGGCCAAACUGGGACGGAGACACGGCCCAGACUCCUACGGGAGGAAGCAGUGGGGAAUUUUGGACAAGGGGGGAAACCCUGAGCCAGCCAUCCCGCGUGUAUGAGAAGGCCUUCGGGUUGUAAAGUACUUUUGGCAGAGAAGCGGUAUCUGCAGAAUAAGCAACGGCUAACUACGUGCCAGCAGCCGCGGUAAUUA
rnacentral:rRNA from 1 species